rnacentral:rRNA from 1 species
AACGCCUCAUACAUACACGGAUAACUGUGAAAAAUUUAGAGCUAAUACAUGCAUUUAAGAGCCGAACUCACGUGACGCUUGCAAUUAUUAGACCAAAUCAAUCGGCUUCGGCUGUUCUUUUGGUGACUCUGAAUAAUUUCACGGAUCGCACGGUCUAGUACCGGCGACAAUCCUAACAAGUAUCUACCCUAUCAACUUCCGAUGGUAGUUUAUGUGACUACCAUGGUUGUAACGGGUAACGGAGAAUUAGGGUUUGACUCCGGAGAGGCAGCCUGAGAAACGGCUACCACUUCUAAGGAAGGCAGCAGGCGCGCAAAUUACACAAUCGCAGAUCGCGGAUGUAGUAAAGGUAAAUACCGAGGCAAUGCCCUUUUGGGUGUUGUCAUCGGAAUGGAUCGAGCGUAAAAAACUCGGUUAGGAUCAAGCGAAGGGCAAGUCUGGUGCCAGCAGCCGCGGUAAUUCCAGCUUCGCAAGUGUAUGUCUACACUGUUGCGGUUAAAAAGCUCAUAAUCAGACUUGCACACUUGCAUGCAGUGUGGCCUUUCGGCUACUACUGUAAUGUGGUGUAUUCUGUCAGUUUGUCGGUGAUGCUCUUCAUUGGGUGUCAUCGGCGGCUGGCGCGGGUUACCUUGACUAAAUCAAAGUGCUCAAAACAAGCGUUUCGCUUGAAUGUAUCGCAACGGGAUAAAUGAAGAAGACUUUUGUCUUUUUUAUUGAUUAUA